rnacentral:lncRNA from 1 species
GCUUUAAAGACAUUGUUUUGGAGAAGGAAGUUGGCAAUGUCAGGUUUUGCCUUUGUGUGUUGUUUGGUCAACAGCAUUUAAUCUAAGAAAAAUGUGUUUCAUUUUGCUUUUUUCAGAGUGGCCUCUACUUUGAUCAGAGAAACUAUAGCAGUCUUAGAUAUAGCAAACCCACCUCUGCUUACUACACUCGGUCUUCUUCCCUAUGCAGUGACCCUCUGGCAACAUCUAAGAGUCAUAGGGCCUCCCCUACUGCAAAUUCUGGUCUGCUGAGAAGUGCCAGCCUGGCAUCAUUCUACGAUGGUGGAUUAUAUAACCCUUAUAGUUCUCGAACUGUAAGUCUAAAUGGGGAAGUCGUGAAGAGCAGGGAGAUGUAGGAGGGUACUAUUGACUUAAAAAGAAAAAGUCACUCAAUCUGACCUGUAAUUACUUAACAAGCUGUGAUCACUCAGUUAGCCAGUCGUGACUCUCACCCACGCUGUGAGAAGGUGCCUGCUAGCAGUCAUGACUUGAAAUAUGAGGGAAAUAAGUAGGGAAACCUCUUUUCUUGCUCAUUAAUUCUUCCUGAAGUUCUGAGCAGCACUUCUCAGGGCAUCCCCUUUCUCUCUCUUUCUAUGGGCUGUUUGUUUCAGACCAGAGAGUAAUAGUUACCUUUUGCCUUGGGGAUCAUGGUCAAGUUAGGUCUAGGGCCAUUAAUGUAUUCUCAGCAGAAAUAGGACCUGAUCAUUAUUAUAAAACCUUUCUUCUUGGAAACUUUAUAGCCAUCUGAAUACAGUUCUUACUCAUCAAGAGCAAGUUCAGCCCGAAGCAGUCCUGUGGUGAGCUGUCUAGUUUCUUUGCAUGUUUUAUAGAAACUUUUGGUUGUUUC